AGAGUUUGAUCCUGGCUCAGGACGAACGCUGGCGGCGUGCCUAAUACAUGCAAGUCGAGCGAUGAUUAAAGAUAGCUUGCUAUUUUUAUGAAGAGCGGCGAACGGGUGAGUAACGCGUGGGAAAUCUGCCGAGUAGCGGGGGACAACGUUUGGAAACGAACGCUAAUACCGCAUAACAAUGAGAAUCGCAUGAUUCUUAUUUGAAAGAAGCAAUUGCUUCACUACUUGAUGAUCCCGCGUUGUAUUAGCUAGUUGGUAGUGUAAAGGACUACCAAGGCGAUGAUACAUAGCCGACCUGAGAGGGUGAUCGGCCACACUGGGACUGAGACACGGCCCAGACUCCUACGGGAGGCAGCAGUAGGGAAUCUUCGGCAAUGGGGGCAACCCUGACCGAGCAACGCCGCGUGAAUGAAGAAGGUUUUCGGAUCUAAAACUCUGUUGUUAGAGAAUAACGUUAAUAAAGUGGAAAAAUUCCUUAAUUGCGGUUCUAACCUAAAGGGACGGCUAACUCCUGCCAUCACCGCGGUAAUACGUAGUUCCAUACGUUGUCCGGAUUUUUGGUGGUAAGCGAUGCAUGUGGUUUUUUAAAUCUUAAUUAAAGGAUUGGCUCUUCAUGGUUGCUCUGAAUUUGUGUGACUGUUGCAGUGAAGAAAUUGAUUCUUUGUUUCUGUGAAUUAAUUAUUUUGUAUUUUGUUGUGAUUUUUUUGUUUUUUUUGAUGUGUUUUUUGUAUUUUUUUUAUUUUUUUAUUUUCUAAUUUUUUUUGUGAUUUUUUGUUUAAUUUUUGUUAUUUUUUG
rnacentral:rRNA from 1 species